rnacentral:rRNA from 1 species
CAAUAGCGUAUAUUAAAGUUGUUGCAGUUAAAAAGCUCGUAGUUGGAUUUCUGGUCGGAAGCUUCUGUCCUCUGAUGAGCGUACAAGUGCGUCCUACCAUUCUUCUGUUAACCUUUAAGGCUUUCGCGGCUUUCUAGGGGCUCAGAUAUUUUACCUUGAGAAAAUUAGAGUGUUUCAGGCAGGCUAGCGCCGGAAUACAUUAGCAUGGAAUAAUGGAAUAGGACUUUUGCCUCUUCUGUUGGUCAUGAGGCUCGAGUAAUGAUUAAUAGGGAUAGUUGGGGGCAUUAGUACUUAACUGUCAGAGGUGAAAUUCUCGGAUUUGUUAAAGACUAACUUAUGCGAAAGCAUUUGCCAAGGAUGUUUUCAUUAA